rnacentral:rRNA from 1 species
CGAUGCGAUCAUACCAGCGUUAAUGCACCAGAUCCCAUCAGAACUCCGCAGUUAAGCGCGCUUGG